AGCUCCAAUAGCGUAUAUUAAAAUUGUUGCGGUUAAAACGCUCGUAGUUGAAUAUCUGUUGAAUGUCCCCGGUCCAUCCUAGUGGUGUGUACUCGGUCUACAUUUGGCACUUUUCUAGGGAACGUGUUCGCACUUAACUGUGUGGCGCAUGAUCUAGUACUUUUACUUUGAGGAAAUGAGAGUGUUUCAAGCAGGCGUUUGUUUUGAAUACGUUAGCAUGGAAUAAUAACAUAGGACCUCGUUCUGGAGUUGUUGGUUUUCGGAGCGAGGUAAUCCAAAUAGGGAUAGCUGGGGGCAUUCGUAUUUAACUGUCAGAGGUGAAAUUCUUGGAUUUUUUAAAGACGAACUACUGCGAAAGCAUCUGCCCAGGAUGUUUUUA
rnacentral:rRNA from 1 species